rnacentral:rRNA from 1 species
UGUCUACGGCCAUACCUAGGCGAAAACACCAGUUCCCGUCCGAUCACUGCAGUUAAGCGUCUGAGGGCCUCGUUAGUACUAUGGUUGGAGACAACAUGGGAAUCCGGGGUGCUGUAGGCUUCCUUUUAUU